rnacentral:rRNA from 1 species
CUGUAAGCCUGCGAAGGUGUACUGUGAGGUAUGCUGGAGGUAUCAGAAGUGCGAAUGCUGACAUAAGUAACGAUAAAGCGGGUGAAAAGCCCGCUCGCCGGAAGACCAAGGGUUCCUGUCCAACGUUAAUCGGGGCAGGGUGAGUCGACCCCUAAGGCGAGGCCGAAAGGCGUAGUCGAUGGGAAACAGGUUAAUAUUCCUGUACUUGGUGUUACUGCGAAGGGGGGACGGAGAAGGCUAUGUUGGCCGGGCGACGGUUGUCCCGGUUUAAGCGUGUAGGCUGGUUUUCCAGGCAAAUCCGGAAAAUCAAGGCUGAGGCGUGAUGACGAGGCACUACGGUGCUGAAGCAACAAAUGCCCUGCUUCCAGGAAAAGCCUCUAAGCAUCAGGUAACAUCAAAUCGUACCCCAAACCGACACAGGUGGUCAGGUAGAGAAUACCAAGGCGCUUGAGAGAACUCGGGUGAAGGAACUAGGCAAAAUGGUGCCGUAACUUCGGGAGAAGGCACGCUGAUAUGUAGGUGAAGUCCCUCGCGGAUGGAGCUGAAAUCAGUCGAAGAUACCAGCUGGCUGCAACUGUUUAUUAAAAACACAGCACUGUGCAAACACGAAAGUGGACGUAUACGGUGUGACGCCUGCCCGGUGCCGGAAGGUUAAUUGAUGGGGUUAGCGGUAACGCGAAGCUCUUGAUCGAAGCCCCGGUAAACGGCGGCCGUAACUAUAACGGUCCUAAGGUAGCGAAAUUCCUUGUCGGGUAAGUUCCGACCUGCACGAAUGGCGUAAUGAUGGCCAGGCUGUCUCCACCCGAGACUCAGUGAAAUUGAACUCGCUGUGAAGAUGCAGUGUACCCGCGGCAAGACGGAAAGACCCCGUGAACCUUUACUAUAGCUUGACACUGAACAUUGAGCCUUGAUGUGUAGGAUAGGUGGGAGGCUUUGAAGUGUGGACGCCAGUCUGCAUGGAGCCGACCUUGAAAUACCACCCUUUAAUGUUUGAUGUUCUAACGUUGGCCCCUGAUCGGGGUUGCGGACAGUGUCUGGUGGGUAGUUUGACUGGGGCGGUCUCCUCCUAAAGAGUAACGGAGGAGCACGAAGGUUGGCUAAUCCUGGUCGGACAUCAGGAGGUUAGUGCAAUGGCAUAAGCCAGCUUGACUGCGAGCGUGACGGCGCGAGCAGGUGCGAAAGCAGGUCAUAGUGAUCCGGUGGUUCUGAAUGGAAGGGCCAUCGCUCAACGGAUAAAAGGUACUCCGGGGAUAACAGGCUGAUACCGCCCAAGAGUUCAUAUCGACGGCGGUGUUUGGCACCUCGAUGUCGGCUCAUCACAUCCUGGGGCUGAAGUAGGUCCCAAGGGUAUGGCUGUUCGCCAUUUAAAGUGGUACGCGAGCUGGGUUUAGAACGUCGUGAGACAGUUCGGUCCCUAUCUGCCGUGGGCGCUGGAGAACUGAGGGGGGCUGCUCCUAGUACGAGAGGACCGGAGUGGACGCAUCACUGGUGUUCGGGUUGUCAUGCCAAUGGCACUGCCCGGUAGCUAAAUGCGGAAGAGAUAAGUGCUGAAAGCAUCUAAGCACGAAACUUGCCCCGAGAUGAGUUCUCCCUGACUCCUUGAGAGUCCUGAAGGAACGUUGAAGACGACGACGUUGAUAGGCCGGGUGUGUAAGCGCAGCGAUGCGUUGAGCUAACCGGUACUAAUGAACCGUGAGGCUUAACCUUACAACGCCGAAG